rnacentral:snRNA from 1 species
AGCAUAUCAAUAAGCGGA